AAUAUGCCACAAUGGAGGGAACUCUGAUGCAGCGACGCCGCGUGAUUGACGAAGGCCUUCGGGUCGUAAAAUUCUGUCCUUGUGGACGAUAAUGACGGUACUCAAGGAGGAAGCCCUGGCUAACUACGUGCCAGCAGCCGCGGUAAUACGUAGGGGGCGAGCGUUGUCCGGAAUUACUGGGCGUAAAGGGUAAGUAGGCGGCUAUAUAAUUCAGGUAUGUAAUUCCAGUGCUUAACACUGGAAUUUCAUUUGAAACUGUGUAGCUUGAGUGCAGGAGGGGAAAGUGGAAAUCCUAGUGUAGCGGUGAAAUGCGUAGAGAUUAGGAGGAACACCAGUGGCGAAGGCGACUUUCUGGACUGUAACUGACGCUGGGGUACGAAAGCGUGGGUAGCGAACA
rnacentral:rRNA from 1 species